UACGAAGGGUGCAAGCGUUACUCGGAAUUACUGGGCGUAAAGCGUGCGUAGGUGGUUCGUUAAGUCUGAUGUGAAAGCCCUGGGCUCAACCUGGGAAUGGCAUUGGAUACUGGCGACCUAGAGUGCGGUAGAGGGGUGUGGAAUUCCCGGUGUAGCAGUGAAAUGCGUAGAUAUCGGGAGGAACAUCUGUGGCGAGGGCGACACCCUGGACCAGCACUGACACUGAGGCACGAAAGCGUGGGGAGCAAACAGG
rnacentral:rRNA from 1 species